UACCUUCUUAACUAUAAAUGGCCCUUCGUAUGUGGGAGUCCAUUUGCCUCUGGGAUCACCUUGUGGUAGAGUGAUACGCUUGAUCACCAAGUCGCCAAUUUGAUACACCUGUCUCUUGACCUUUUUGUUAAACGCCUGGGUCAUGCGCUUCUGAUAUAUCUGCCCAUGACAAACAACCGCAAGUCUCUUUUCAGCAAUCAAAUUUAUUUGAUCGAGUCGAGUCUGAAUCCAUUCAUCUUCAU
rnacentral:lncRNA from 1 species